rnacentral:rRNA from 1 species
AGUGAACGCUGGCGGUAGGCCUAACACAUGCAAGUCGAACGGCAGCACAGUAAGAGCUUGCUCUUACGGGUGGCGAGUGGCGGACGGGUGAGGAAUACAUCGGAAUCUACUUUUUCGUGGGGGAUAACGUAGGGAAACUUACGCUAAUACCGCAUACGACCUACGGGUGAAAGCAGGGGAUCUUCGGACCUUGCGCGAUUGAAUGAGCCGAUGUCGGAUUAGCUAGUUGGCGGGGUAAAGGCCCACCAAGGCGACGAUCCGUAGCUGGUCUGAGAGGAUGGUCAGCCACCCAGGACCUGAGAACCGGCCCAGACACCUAGGGAGGCAGCAGUGGGGAAUAUUGGACAAUGGGCGCAAGCCUGGUCCAGCCAUACCGCGUGGGUGAAGAAGGCCUUCGGGUUGUAAAGCCCUUUUGUUGGGAAAGAAAAGCAGCAGGUUAAUACCCCGCUGUUCUGACGGUACCCAAAGGAUAAGCACCGGCUAACUUCGUG